UACGUAGGGUGCGAGCGUUGUCCGGAAUUAUUGGGCGUAAAGAGCUUGUAGGCGGUCUGUCGCGUCUGCUGUGAAAAUCCGGGGCUCAACCCCGGACUUGCAGUGGGUACGGGCAGACUAGAGUGUGGUAGGGGAGACUGGAAUUCCUGGUGUAGCGGUGAAAUGCGCAGAUAUCAGGAGGAACACCAGCGGCGAAGGCGGCGCUCUGGGCCGGAACUGACGCUGAGGAGCGAAAGCAUGGGGAGCGAACAGG
rnacentral:rRNA from 1 species